rnacentral:sRNA from 1 species
GCUUUAGCAAAAUCUAAAGCCAGCCGUGGAAAGCUGAACAUACCAGAGGCGAACAGUAGCACGCCGUUAAACCGUGCUUUUUUU